UAUGGCCACAUCACGUUGAAACACCGAUUCCCGUACGAUCACUGAAGUUAAGCAACGACAAGCCUGGUCAGUGCCUAGAUGGAUGACCACUUGGAAAUACC